UACGGGGGGGGCAAGCGUUGUUCGGAAUUACUGGGCGUAAAGGGUCUGUAGGUGGCUUGCUAAGUCAGACGUGAAAUCCCUCAGCUUAACUGGGGAACUGCGUCUGAGACUGGCGAGCUUGAGGGCAGGAGAGGAACGCGGAAUUCCAGGUGUAGCGGUGAAAUGCGUAGAUAUCUGGAGGAGCACCGGUGGCGAAGGCGGCGUUCUGGACUGCAUCUGACACUGAGGCACGAAAGCGUGGGGAUCAAACAGG
rnacentral:rRNA from 1 species